GGAAGGCGCAGAAACAACACUCUCAAAUCUCAUUCUCUUCGUCUUUCUACAGAGCGCUUUGUUUGAUCUUUCUGUAAUAAUGGCUCAACAAAACGAUACGGUGUCAUCUAGCUCUAAUCAAUCUUCUUCUUCUACUACUACUCAAAGUUCUCCUCUCGACCCCCUCAACAAGCAACCCCAGGUGCCUCCAUUCUCUGGCUUCCCAGCAUAUGGUGAUUUUCAGAUGUAUCCUAUAGUUUACCCUGCGCUAGUUCCAGGGUUAACUCAUUUGCAAAAUCAGGAACAGAUGAAUCGUGGGGCGGGCAUUUAUGCAGUGCCAGUUCCACCAUUUAUGGGGCCAAUUGCUGGACUUCCAUCAAGUACUCUUAUUCCUCUUACUUAUAAUAUACCCACGUAAGUAUCUGUUGUACAUGAGCUAAGGUUAUUAUUAGUAGCUCCUGACUUGGCUAAUGCAUAUCUAUAUAGUUUUAUGAACAUACACACAUUGGAGAAUUUAUUCAUUAUUAGAUUUUGUACUUCAUGUAACUUAUGAGGAAUUUUAUUUGUCAUCUGUCAUUUAUCACAUUUGCUAUAAACUGAAACUUCUAUUAAGUAUUGUAUCUGUCAUGCGUGACCCUUUUAUAAAAAUGUUUUUUCUGUCCUUCAUUAGGAUAUGUAAAAAUCCAUCAGAUGUGAAUUUGUCUUGUAUGUUCCUUUCAACAGCAUUUUCAAUGUUUGAUUCUUUGCUUUUAUGUUUAAACUCCCGCUGGGAAAGCAAUUUUUAUUCUUUGUUACAUAACAAAUUUGCUGUUUUGCCCCAUCUAACUGCAAUCUAUAGCUUCUAGUUCCUGAUUCCUGAUUUUACUUUUAUGACCUUCUAGGAUGCUGUUCUCUUGUUUCUACCUGCUAUUUUACUUUUGGUUGCAAGCAUAGCAGUCUGCCUUAUGUACCUGUUUCAUUACCUUUUUGUGUUGUUUGUGUCUUCGCAUUUGUUUACGGUUGUUCUAGCCUUUACUUUAUUCUCAAAUCCAUUUGUCUUUGUUCCUUAACAUAUGGAAUUUGCUUAAUUUCCGUGCCCUUGAUUUUAUUAUAUGAGGGAAGAGAAACUUCUUCAGGACUACCAUAUUUUUUACUUUAGAGAAUCUGUUCUUACUUCUGAGUUUUUACUUCUGCUUGUAAUUGUUGAAUUUUUUUUCCAAAGGCCACUCUAUCAUUGAAGGAUAUUAUUCAAGGUUAGUUUCAUUACUAUAUUGGAAAGAGGGAAGAGCACAAGCUUAGAUAAACAACUAGAAUUUCUUACCCAAAAUAACUAUUAACUACAAAGCAAAAUAGCAGAAGGAACAGAAAAUAGAUUAUAGGGCUGUUUGCAGAGUAGUUAGGCACUAUGAACAGUAAAUAAAGGUUUAAGAUUUAGAUCUGAACUUCCUUACUCCUUGGGCAUCAUACAAUCCAAAAGCAACAAUUGCAGGAAAUUUUAUUGUUGAAAGCUCACUAAUAACCAUUACAAGCAUCUAUAUUGAUAGAAUCAAAUUAAUUCUAAACCUUUAAGAUGAUGGACUCCCAAAAUUGUUAUCCAAGAAAAUUGAAAGGAUUAAUGCAAUUAUAAACCUUAAGGCCGCAGAAUAUAAAAUUAAGACUCCCAAAAACAUGCAACUAUCCUAUACAACUGGAAAUUACAAAAAAACUCUGAACUCUGAAGACUGCAGAGUUAAAAUAUUGGACCAGUUGCUAAUUUGUUUGGAUAGUCAUAUAAUAAGACCCCUAAAGGAAUAAAAUUUAUUGUAUGAUACCCCAAAUAAAGCCUACAUUGAAUCUGAGUGAUUAUUCUAACUUUCUUUGGUCUUUAAUGUUAGGGAAAUUUAUUUUUUAGUCCCUAGGUUAUGCCAUAAUUAACACUUGAGUCCUUCAUUUUUCAGAAAUCGAUGAUUUGGUCACUAAUAUUUUACUCCGUCAACAAAUAAAUAAGUCCAUUUUAAAAUGAGUUUUCCGUUAUUUCAGCAAUAAAAGAUGAAAAUUCCCCUUUUAUAGCCUAAACAUCUCUCCUCUGGUCAUCACCAUUUUAAACUCUUUCACAUUCCCUAAUGAAAAGCCAUCUCUGCUAUCAAAUCACUUUCCUUUCUCCUCCGUCCUCUCAAUACCAGAUCCAAUUCAUCCCCUCCACUUUUUGCCCCUUUUUUGCCCUCUUCAAUUUCAACUCUUUUAUCCCUCCCCAAACCCAUAUUAACCUCCUCCCCCCUUUACCUCUUGAUGAUAACUGGAGGACAAGGCCGAGUGGUGGGUGCAAGCGUUGAUGUACCUAUGCAAGUGGGUGCAAUUGCGUCGCCAGGAGCGGUUGGCUAGACUUUGUUGCUAGCUAGGAUAUUAGGUUCGUUGAGCAUUUUCGGGUUUCCUUUCUCAUUUUAUUUUUGUUUUAUUUUCUUGUGUAGUUGUUUUGCAUUUGAAACUUUGCCUAUGUGAGCUUAGCUAAGUAUUGCGCAUCCCAAGCCCAAAGAAAGGAGGGUCAAUUGGAUGGAGUUUUGGUAGGGAGAGAGCAAAAUGAGAGAGAGAUGGGAGAGUGUGAGAGAGACAAGAGAGGAGGGGAGAAAUACUGGGUUAAGGUUAGUAUAGGAAUAAAAAAUUUCUCUCAUUUGACAUGUUUGACUAAUGGAAUAUACUUAAAAAAAAAUGAACAGAAUGACUAAGAUGUUUGACGGAACCGAACUUUAGGGAAUAAAUCAACUAUUUCUGAUAAAUGAGGGACUCAAAUGCUAAUUAUUGCUUAACCCAGGGACUAAAAAAUAAAUUUUCCAUAAUCUUAUUUUGCCUGAAGCUCUUGUUGUCUGCAUCAGAAAGAAAUACCAGCACAUAACAAAACCAUGUGACAUAUUGAGUAUUAUGGCUGAUUAUAAGUUGGAUACACUUGCUAAUUCAGCAUAGAUAAAAUAUUGAUGAUAAGUGAUGAUUGAAAACUGUGAAAAAUGAUGAUAUAUCUGCAUAGCAAAAUUUGUUACAUGAUGGGAUACUUUUUAAGAAAUUAUGUGAUGAAAUACUAAGUAAAUUAAUAAGUUGUCAUUUUCUUGCCAUUUCUUUGACAGCAGGUCAGGUCCUGAUACUGGGGCAGCCAAUGAUCAGGGGCAAGGGGGACAGCAGCCACAACAGCAGCAGGCUGCACCCCAAAGACAAGUUGUUGUGAGGAGAUUUCAAAUUGCAUUUCAGCUUGAUUUGUUAUUAAUACUUAAGCUGGCAGCUGUAAUCUUUUUGUUCAACCAAGAUGGAUCAAGAACAAGACUUGUUGUGCUUGUGUUCUUUGCUUCACUUGUCUAUUU
rnacentral:misc_RNA from 1 species